rnacentral:rRNA from 1 species
UACGGAGGGUGCAAGCGUUAUCCGGAUUCACUGGGUUUAAAGGGUGCGUAGGUGGGCAGGUAAGUCAGUGGUGAAAUCUCCGGGCUUAACUCGGAAACUGCCAUUGAUACUAUCUUUCUUGAAUACCGUGGAGGUCAGCGGAAUAUGUCAUGUAGCGGUGAAAUGCUUAGAUAUGACAUAGAACACCAAUUGCGAAGGCAGCUGGCUACACAAAUAUUGACACUGAGGCACGAAAAGCGUGGGGAUCAAACAG